rnacentral:misc_RNA from 1 species
AACGCACAUUGCGCCCUUUGGCAUUCCGAAGGGCAUGCCUGUUCGAGCGUCAUUAUCCUCCCUCAAAUCGCCUUGGUGGUUUGGUGUUGGACCGCGUUGGACCGUUCGCGGCCAACUGGUCUCAAAGACAAUGACGGCGUCCGUGGGACCCUCUUCGCACUGAGCUUUCCGGAGCACGCGUCGAGUCGCAAGGUCUCGGGGACCCGGCCUCCUCUAAAAUUUAUUUUUUCUCAGGUUGACCUCGGAUCAGGUAGGAAUACCCGCUGAACUUAA